rnacentral:rRNA from 1 species
GACGAACGCUGGCGGCGUGCCUAAUACAUGCAAGUCGAACGCAGUGGGGACGGGUGAGUGACACGUGGGUAACCUCCCAUCAGAGGGGAUAACCGUUGGAAACAGGUGCAAAACCGAUACUGAUGGAGGAACCCGCGGUGCAUUAGCGAGUUGGUGAGGUAACAGCUCACCAAGGCCACGAUGCAUAGCUGACCUGAGAGGGUGAUCGGCCACACUGGGACUGAGACACGGCCCAGACUCCUACGGGAGGCAGCAGUAGGGAAUCUUCGGCAAUGGACUAAAGUCUGACCGAGCAACGCCGCGUGAGUGAAGAAGGUUUUCGGCUCGUAAAACUCUGUUGUUAGAGAAGCGUUAUCUAACAAGGAAGCCACGGCUAACUACGUGCCAGCAGCCGCGGUAAUUC